rnacentral:rRNA from 2 species
GCGGAGGAAAAGAAACUAACUAGGAUUCCCUUAGUAACGGCGAGUGAACCGGGAUGAGCUCAAAUUUAAAAUCUGGCGUCUUUCAGGCGUCCGAGUUGUAAUCUAUAGAGGCGUUUUCCGCGCCGGACCGCGUCCAAGUCUCUUGGAAUAGAGUAUCAAAGAGGGUGACAAUCCCGUACUUGACGCGACAACCGGUGCUCUGUGAUACGUUCUCAAUGAGUCGAGUUGUUUGGGAAUGCAGCUCUAAAUGGGUGGUAAAUUCCAUCUAANGCUAAAUAUUGGCGAGAGACCGAUAGCGAACAAGUACCGUGAGGGAAAGAUGAAAAGCACUUUGGAAAGAGAGUUAAACAGCACGUGAAAUUGUUAAAAGGGAAACGAUUGAAGUCAGUCGUGUGAAAGGUAUUCAGCCGUCUCUGGCGGUGUAUUUGCCUUUCACGGGUCAACAUCAGUUUGAUCCGGUAGAAAAAGGCGGGAGGAAGGUGGCACCCUCGGGUGUGUUAUAGCCUCCUGUCAUAUGUGCCGGACCAGACUGAGGAA